rnacentral:rRNA from 1 species
AGCCUACGGGGGGCAGCAGUAGGGAAUUUUCGUCAAUGGGCGCAAGCCUGAACGAGCAAUGCCGCGUGAACGAGGAAGGUCUUCGGAUCGUAAAGUUCUGUUGAAGGGGAAAAAGAGCGGAGAGAGGAAAUGGUCUCCGAUUGAUAUUACCCUUCGAGGAAGUCACGGCUAACUACGUGCCAGCAGCCGCGGUAAUACGUAGGUGGCGAGCGUUAUCCGGAAUUAUUGGGUGUAAAGGGUGCGUAGACGGGAUGUCAAGUUAGUUGUGAAAUACCUCGGCUCAACUGAGGAACUGCAACUAAAAU